rnacentral:rRNA from 1 species
AGAGUUUGAUCCUGGCUCNNAUUGAACGCUGGCGGCAUGCCUUACACAUGCAAGUCGAACGGCAGCACGGACUUCGGUCUGGUGGCGAGUGGCGAACGGGUGAGUAAUGCAUCGGAACGUGCCCUGAAGUGGGGGAUAACGUAGCGAAAGUUACGCUAAUACCGCAUAUUCUGUGAGCAGGAAAGCAGGGGAUCGCAAGACCUUGUGCUUUAGGAGCGGCCGAUGUCGGAUUAGCUAGUUGGUGAGGUAAAGGCUCACCAAGGCAACGAUCCGUAGCGGGUCUGAGAGGAUGAUCCGCCACACUGGGACUGAGACACGGCCCAGACUCCUACGGGAGGCAGCAGUGGGGAAUUUUGGACAAUGGGCGCAAGCCUGAUCCAGCCAUGCCGCGUGAGUGAAGAAGGCCUUCGGGUUGUAAAGCUCUUUCGGCGGGGAAGAAAUCGCAUUCACUAAUACUGGAUGUGGAUGACGGUACCCGAAUAAGAAGCACCGGCUAACUACGUGCCAGCCGCCGCGGUAAUUC